GGAGGGUGCAAGCGUUAUCCGGAUUCACUGGGUUUAAAGGGUGCGUAGGUGGGCUAGUAAGUCCGUGGUGAAAUCUCCAAGCUUAACUUGGAAACUGCCGUGGAUACUAUUAGUCUUGAAUAUUGUGGAGGUAAGCGGAAUAUGUCAUGUAGCGGUGAAAUGCUUAGAUAUGACAUAGAACACCGAUAGCGAAGGCAGCUUGCUACACAAUUAUUGACACUGAGGCACGAAAGCGUGGGGAUCAAACAGGAUUAGAUACCCUGGUAGUCCACGCCCUAAACGAUGAUUACUCGACAUACGCGAUACACAGUGUGUGUCUGAGCGAAAGCAUUAAGUAAUCCACCUGGGAAGUACGAUCGCAAGAUUG
rnacentral:rRNA from 1 species